rnacentral:rRNA from 1 species
CCUACGGGAGGCAGCAGUGAGGAAUAUUGGUCAAUGGCCGAGAGCCUGAACCAGCCAAGUCGCGUGAGGGAAGACGGCCCUACGGGUUGUAAACCUCUUUUGUCGGGGAGUAAAGCGAGUCACGUGUGACUCUUUGUGUGUACUCGAUGAAAAAGCAUCGGCUAACUCCGUGCCAGCAGCCGCGGUAAUACGGAGGAUGCGAGCGUUAUCCGGAUUUAUUGGGUUUAAAGGGUGCGAAGGGGGAGGUGAAAGUCAGCGGUAAAAUUGUGGGGCUAAACCCUGUAUUGCCGUUGAGACUGGAUGCCUUGAGUACGCGAGAGGUAUGCGGAAGGCGUGGUGUAGCGGUGAAAUGCAUAGAUAUCACGAAGAACUCCGAUUGCGAAGGCAGCAUACCGGACCGCAACUGACGCUGAUGCUCGAAAGCGUGGGUAUCGAACAGGAUUAGAUACCCGGGUAGUC